AAUAUUGCACAAUGGGCGAAAUCCUGAUGCAGCAACGCCGCGUGAGGGAUGACGGCCUUCGGGUUGUAAACCUCUUUUAGUAGGGAAGAAGCGAAAGUGACGGUACCUGCAGAAAAAGCAACGGCAAACUACGUGCCACCAGCCGCGGUAAUACGUAGGGUGUAAGCGUUGUCCGGAAUUAUUGGGCGUAAAGAGCUCGUAGGCGGCGUGUCGCGUCUGCUGUGAAAACCCGGGGCUCAACCUCGGGCUUGCAGUGGGUACGGGCAGGCUAGAGUGCAGUAGAGGAGAUUGGAAUUCCUGGUGUAGCGGUGGAAUGCGCAGAUAUCAGGAGGAACACCGAUGGCGAAGGCAGAUCUCUGGGCCGCUACUGACGCUGAGGAGCGAAAGCAUGGGGAGCGAAC
rnacentral:rRNA from 1 species